rnacentral:lncRNA from 1 species
GUCUGUUCUCAAGUCUUUUCUAGCCUUGAGUUAUAAAAUAAUAGUUCAAUUAAUUGUGUAACUCGGUUUCAGAUGAGUCAAUUAAGUUUAUUGUUGGGCAAAUGCUGAUAUAAACCUUCUGCUGUAGCUGAAAGGCGAGGCUGGGGACCGGAGGCUUGUGGUGCCAUGGUGGACCGGAGGCUGGAGACCAGGGGCCUGCAGCACCGGACCAGAGGACCAGGAAUCCAUGUCUGGAGGAGCUGAUGGAGGAGCCGUGCUGAAGGAGCUGAUGGAGGAGCCGUGCUGAUGGAGGAGCCGUGCUGAUGGAGGAGCCGUGCUGAAGGAGCUGAUUGAGGAUCCGUGCUGAAGGCCCUGCCUGGUGGAGGAGCUGCUGGAGGGCCUGCCAGGUGAA